UUCCGGAGUUCCCCACUACAGCGUGCCUCAUAAUCAAAUCGUGGUUACCACCCGUAAAACCCCAUAAUUUUUUUUUAUUCCUAGCAACUAUUAUAGAAGGUCGCUAACUUUUCAGAAAUGUUGAUGAUGACCUCCAUUCUACGCAGGGGUCACUGUAGUAGGAGGCCAUGGAGUUUGAAAGAGUGCUGAAGGAAGUUGGUGGCUUCGGUCUUUUCAACAAGACAAUCAUGGUCGGAGCUCUGGUGCUAGCAACUUGGAACACGGCCCUGUGUUACUUCUUUCAUGUAUUCGUGCUAAUCGCACCACCCAGCCAGUGGUGCUUUGUCAACGGCACUUCACUCGAAGACUUCUCGGAUGCUAGCGCGUUGCCUCGACGGCGCUGCCAAAUGGUGAGUUUAUCCAGUGACGGCGCUAAUGCCAGCUUCGCCGACGGCAGUGCGGCAACUUGCCCUACGGGUUGGAAGUUCGAUCCCACUGAGUUCUUCACGUCGGUCACGAUGGAGAAUCAGUGGAUAUGCGGCGAAAGCUGGAAAAUGUACGCUGUCCACACCGCUUAUUGGUCAGGAUCGAUGACGGGUUACUUCGUGUCAGGAUUUCUCGCCGACAAAAUUGGCCGCAAGAAGACGGCCUUGCUGCUAAUAGUGGUGGGAUCCACGUGCAACCUGCUCGGUGCCUUCUUCUCCCAGUUCGUUAGCUACACGAUCCUCAAGUUCUUCGCUGCCGCAGGCUCUUACACGGUUACGACGACAGUAUUUGUGUUAGUGAUGGAGUACACCAUAUCAGAAAAAAGGACCCUGGUUGCCUUCAUCUGGGCCACAAGUUGGACUGUACUGGCCACCAUGCUGCCCUGGUACGCGUACCUCUUGCAGAACUGGAGGGUGCUCAUCGCUACGAAUGCCUCCAUGAGCGUGUUUUUACUCGUCAUCUUCUGGUGGGUCCCAGAAUCAUCUAGUUGGCUGUUGUCCGUGAACCGCAAGCAAGAAGCCCUUGUCAUCCUCCAGAGGAUUGCGCGUAUAAACGGCAAGGACGCGUCAGAAGAGCAACUCGAUAAGCUUCUGAAGAAGACAGCCAGCGAUGUGCAGAACCACGCCGCCGCUGAGGAGGCUCCGAGCUUCUGGAAAGGCACUCUGCUCAUGCUCAAGUCGCCUAACAUAAGAAAGAUCAUGGUGCUAAUAUACCUUGGCUGGUUUAUAGUUUGCAUGUGCUACAACGUGACCACCCUGGAGCUGGGACGGCUUGGCCUGAACAUAUACUCAACGUACUCGAUCGCCAUCGCAUGCGAGUUGCCCGUGAACAUCAUAUGCAUCUCUUCGCUGGACAAACUUGGACGACGCUGGCCGAAUUCCAUUUUUAUACUCAUCGGUGGCACUGUCUGCCUCGUUAUGUGGCUACUUAGGAGCGAGUCGGCCACCUGGACGCUCGUGAUGGCGACCAUGCUCAUUAUGGCGUUCGCCGGCGGCUACAACAUCACGUACCAGAUGGCGUCGGAAGUGUUUCCCACCAUCGUCCGCGGUCGCGCCGUGCUGCUUCAGAGGCUGCUCGGAGAUGCUGGUGGAUUGCUCGGCGCACAGGUCGCCUCCCUGGCUGAACUGGACGAGUACUUGCCGAUGCUCGUGAUGGGCUGCCUAGCUUUGCUAGGCAGUGUGCUGGUCUUCUUUCUGCCGGAGACAGUAGGCACCGCCAUGCCGCAGACCAUUGAGGACGGCGAGCGCUUCGGCCGCGAUCAGGGCCUGUGGUUCUGCCCUCUGUUCACUAGAGAUACAGAAGAUACCACACAGGGCGAGUCACCAAACAAACGAAGGCGAGGAGUCUUGUCUUUCCACAAGAAAAUGCCGGUUACAGGUCAGCCAGCAGUCAACAGGGCCUUCGAUAACAAUGAGUCGGUCGUGGCAACAGUUUACAAUGCCGUUAGGUGAAACUUCCCGUAUCAGCUGUCUGCCACGGCUGGAGAGGCCCACAUCGUUUCACUCCUAUGCUGCGCUACAAACACUGCCAUCACAACUCGUUUCCUGUGUUCCGUGCUCAAGCAUUCAUGCAGCUCGUGCUCCGAACGAUAACUCUGCAGACACAUCGUUCUGCGAGAUAAUAUUGAGUUCUUGUGGGGAGUUGCGAGCAACCACGCCACCUGCUGCUGCCCUUUAUGAAGAAAAGCAUAUCUCGUAAGCGACAGAAGAACAUUCAUCGCCAUAGUAUUGCACUUGGGUGAGCAAAGAUGGACUGAUGGCGUUGCCUCGUGGGCCAAUAUUGGCGUGUGCGGGUGGAUGAGGCGUGGGCCUUUCCCACCGUGACUCUGUUUGUUUUUAAUUUAAUUCCCAUUUGGCGUAUUGUUUCCCGUCUUCCAUUAAUCGGAGGUGCUUCACUUAGAUUUACAGUGCACGAACGAGUUGAAUAAAUAUACCAUGA
rnacentral:misc_RNA from 1 species